UAUGGCCAUAUCACAAUGAAAAACCAGUUUCUGUUCAAUCAUUGAAGUUAAGCAAUGUUGUGCCUGGUCAGUACCUAGAUGGGCAACUGCUUGGGAAUACCAGAAGCUGUAAG